rnacentral:rRNA from 1 species
AUUGAACGCUGGCGGCAGGCCUAACACAUGCAAGUCGAGCGGUAACACAGGGAGCUUGCUCCUGGGUGACGAGCGGCGGAGGGGUGAGUAAUGUCUGGGAAACUGCCUGAUGGAGGGGGAUAACUACUGGAAACGGUAGCUGAUACCGCAUAAUGUCGAAAGACCAAAGCGGGGGACCUUCGGGCAGCUUGCCAUUAGAUGUGCCCAGAUGGGAUUAGCUAGUAGGCGGGGUAACGGCUAACCUAGGCGACGAUCCCUAGUCGGUCUGAGGGGAUGAGCAGCCUCACUAGAACAGAGCCACGGUCCAGACUCCUACGGUGGUCAGCAGUGGACUACUAUGCACAAUGCGCCCGAGCCUGACGCAGCCAUGCCGCGUGUAUGAAGAAGGCCUUCGGGUUGUAAAGUACUCUCAGCGGGGAGAAAGGUGUUGAGGUUAAUAACCUCAGCAAUUGACGUUACCCGCAGCGGAAGCACCGGCUAACUCCGUGCCAGCCGCCGCCGUAAUAC